AUAGGUACACAGGUGAUAGCUUGGACAUUAUGUUCAAGAGGAAAGUCCGGGCUGCUGUAGGACACGGUUCCAUCUAACUGAUGGCCAUGGUAACAUGAGGGACAGUGCAACAGAGAGUAGACCGCCUUCUAUUUAUAGAAGGUGAGGGUGAAACGGUGGGGUAAGAGCCCACCAGUCUCAUAGGUAACUAUGAGAGCUAUGUAAACCCAACCGCGCAGCAAGAAACAGAUGGUUAGCGUCCUACAUCGCUAUUGUUUCGCUAGAGGCUCUGAGUGAUCAGAGCAGUAGAUUAAUUAUCACUAAUCCAGAACCCGGCUUAUUGUGUGCCUAACUCG
rnacentral:RNase_P_RNA from 1 species